AAAGAAGUAGGUAGCUUAACCUUCGGGAGGGCGCUUACCACUUUGUGAUUCAUGACUGGGGUGAAGUCGUAACAAGGUAACCGUAGGGGAACCUGCGGUUGGAUCACCUCCUUACCUU
rnacentral:rRNA from 1 species